UUACAUUUUGAUUUUGAGUGCCGAACGGCAGUGAGGUACGACAGUGGCGAACGGCUGAGUAACACGUAGGAACUUCCUUUGUGUUGGGAAUAACCCACCGAAAGGUGGACUAAUACCCGAUGUGCCCGUAAGGGUAAAGCAGCAAUGCGCACAAAGCAAGGCCUGCGCACCAUCAGGUAGUUGGUAGGGUAAAAGCUUACCAAGCCAAUGACGGUUAGGGGGCCCGAGAGGGUGUACCUCCAGACGGGGACUGCGACACGGCCCCGACUCCUACGGGAGGCAGCAGUAGGGAAUAUUGGACAAUGGGCGAAAGCCUGAUCCAGCGACGCCGCGUGCGGGAUGAAGGCCUUCGGGUUGUAAACCGCUUUUACCCGGGAACAAUUUUUGAGCGUACCGGGUGAAUAAGAGGUUGCUAACUCUGUGCCAGCAGCAGCGGUAAUACAGAGACCUCGAGCGUUAUCCGGAUUCAUUGGGCGUAAAGCGUUCCGACAGGUGGUUUGGUAAGUUCUUUGUUAAAGCCCACGGCUUAACCGUGGAAGUGCAAAGAAUACUGCCAGACUUGAGGGGCAAAGAGGUGCUUGGAACGAACAGAGUAGCAGUGAAAUGCGUUGAUACUGUUCGGAACACCAAAAGCGAAGGCAGAGCACUGGGUGCCACCUGACACUGCUAGGACGAAAGCGUGGGGAGCGAAUGGGAUUAGAUACCCCAGUAGUCCACGCUGUAAACGAUGCUGACUAGUCACUUGGGAGUGUCGACCCUCCUGAGUGGCGAAGCUAACGCGUUAAGUCAGCCGCCUGGGGAGUACGGUCGCAAGACUAAAACUCAAAGGAAUUGACGGGGACCUGCACAAGCGGUGGAGCAUGUGGUUCAAUUCGACGAUAAGCGAGGAACCUUACCAGGGUUUGACAUGUAUCUGCACGUCCCACGAAAGUGGGAUUCCUUCGAGGGUGAUACACAGAUGCUGCACGGUUGUCGUCAGCUCGUGUCGUGAGAUGUUGCCUUAAGUGGUAGAACGAGCGCAACCCCUAUUGUCCGUUUUAUUGUAUCGGACAAAACUGCCAGCGUUCAAGCUGGAGGAAGGCGGGGACGACGUCAAAUCAGCGUGGCUCUUACACCCUGGGCUACACACGUGCUACAAUGGGUAGGAUACAAAGGGACGCAAGAUCGCAAGAUGGAGCAAAUCCCUAAAACUACCCUCAGUUCGGAUUGAGGGCUGCAACUCGCCCUCAUGAAGCUGGAAUCGCUAGUAACCGUAGAUCAGCCUCGCUACGGUGAAUACGUCCUCAGGUUUUGUACACACCGCCCGUCACACCAUGGAAGCCGUUAGUACCCAAAGCUCGUGCUGCACGGAUAAG
rnacentral:rRNA from 1 species